GUAUAGGCACAAGGGCCCAAUGAUACAUUCUGUUACAUACAAUGGGGUAUAUGAAAAACAUAGACAUGGAAUUGCAAAGAAAGCUCCUCACGACCGAGUCGCCUCGGAUAAUCAAUUCCAAAUCUACAAGAGGUGCACAGGUGGAGAGAUGAGGAUGGUAGGUGUGCACAUGCCCCCAAGAGGGCCAGCAACAACCACACCAAAUUCAUUCAAUAAUGAUCCUUCCGCAGGUUCACCUACGGAAA
rnacentral:misc_RNA from 1 species